CAUUUAAACUAGUAUCACUGCCCACUGAUAUCCCACCUGAAACCCUUGUAAGCACCCUUCCCACACUUUCAACUUUAAAUCAUAUACUUAAACCUUACUGCCUCCGUGUAUUUUGACAUCUCUGGGGGAGACAGCUGCUUCUCUCCCCAACCUUCCCAACCUGCUCCUCCCUCAGAUCUCCUACCUUGGUUGACAGCAAUUCCAUCCUUCCCAUCAUUCAGGCCAAAGCCUCAGAGUCACCCUGAGCGUUCUCUUUCACACCCCGUGUCCACCUUGGUUUCUAACAGGCACUGCAAAUCUAACCUGACAAUGCUGGAGUCGGCAGUUGGAUUUAUGAGCCUGGAGUCAGGGGAGAAAUUGGGGCUGAAGAUAAUCCAUUUGGAAGUCAUCAGUGUGAAGAUGGUGCUUAAAGACAUGAGACUGAGGCUACCAACAUGACGUCACUGAACAGGGAGUCAGGAGCUUUGCACAUAGUCAACUCUUGCAAACUAUUAUGAGUUUGUCCUGCUCCCCACUGCCUGGAAACCAAGCAAACAGAGAGUUACAAAAAAAGAAUUACAAGCAUGAAGGGUGAACAACCAUGUUAAAUGCCGUUGACAUGUCAAAUUAGCUGAGGACUUCCGCAGUGAUGGAUGUAACACUUUGCCACGCAAAAAUGUUAAACGUAGAUCAGGCAGGAUGCAAAAAUAGCAUAACUUCACACUCUGUAAAGUUACACUCCCCAGUACAACUUUCAAACCGGAGCAAUAAAGAGAGAAACAAUUCCCUGGAUCAUUUAUUUUUAAUCUCUCCUCAAUUCUAACAUAUGCAUUCAGGCCAUAAUUGUCCCUCUAAGCAUGGCUUUAACUGCAUUCCAACGUUUGUACAUGUAAUAUUUUAAUUAUCGUUUGUUCAAAACAUAAUUUUAAUUGCCAUCACGCUUUUUCUCAGGCCUGAGAGUUUUUUAAGACUGCUGUUCGGCCGGGCAUGG
rnacentral:lncRNA from 10 species